GAAUCCCGUCUUUGGUACGGACCCCCAGGGCUUCUGUGAUGCGCUCUCGAAGAGUCGAGUUGUUUGGGAAUGCAGCUCAAAAUGGGUGGUGAACUCCAUCUAAAGCUAAAUAUUGGCGAGAGACCGAUAGCGAACAAGUACCGUGAGGGAAAGAUGAAAAGCACUUUGGAAAGAGAGUGAAACAGUACGUGAAAUUGUUGAAAGGGAAACGCUUAAAGUCAGUCGCGUCGACCGAGACUCAGCCUCGCUCCGGCUUGGUGUAUUUCUCGGCCUGACGGGUCAGCGUCAAUUUGGUCCCUCGGAUAAUGGCAAGGGAAAGGUGGCACCUUUACGGGUGUGUUAUAGUCUUUUGUCGCAUGCGAGGGGCGAGAUUGAGGAACUCAGCACGCGCGCCCUUCUGGGUGUGUCGGGGCCUCGGCCCACGCCACGUGCUUAGGAUGCUGGCGUAAUGGCUUUAAACGACCCGUCUUGAAACACGGACCAAGGAGUCUAACAUGCCCGCGAGUGUUCGGGUGGAAAACCCGUGCGCGUAAUGAAAGUGAAAGUUGGGACCUUCGUCGUGAAGGGCACCGACGCCCGGACCAGACCUUCUGUGACGGAUCUGCGGUGGAGCGUGCAUGUUGGGACCCGAAAGAUGGUGAACUAUGCCUGAAUAGGGUGAAGCCAGAGGAAACUCUGGUGGAGGCUCGUAGCGAUUCUGACGUGCAAAUCGAUCGUCAAAUUUGGGUAUAGGGGCGAAAGACUAAUCGAACCAUCUAGUAGCUGGUUCCUGCC
rnacentral:rRNA from 1 species